GUUUUUAUAGUUGAAGUACAACGAUGGUUUUUCAUACCAUGGGUCUUGGUUUAAAUCCAUGUAAGAACU
rnacentral:tRNA from 1 species